AGUGAACGCUGGCGGUAGGCCUAACACAUGCAAGUCGAACGGCAGCACAGUAAGAGCUUGCUCUUACGGGUGGCGAGUGGCGGACGGGUGAGGAAUACAUCGGAAUCUACUUUUUCGUGGGGGAUAACGUAGGGAAACUUACGCUAAUACCGCAUACGACCUACGGGUGAAAGCAGGGGAUCUUCGGACCUUGCGCGAUUGAAUGAGCCGAUGUCGGAUUAGCUAGUUGGCGGGGUAAAGGCCCACCAAGGCGACGAUCCGUAGCUGGUCUGAGAGGAUGAUGAGCCACACUGGAACUGAGACACGGUCCAGACUCCUACGGGAGGCAGAGGCGGGGAAUAUUGGAAAAUGGGCGCAAGCCUGAUCCAGGCAUACCGGGUGGGUGAAGAAGGCCUUCGGGUUGUAAAGCCCUUUUGUUGGGAAAGAAAAGCAGCAGGUUAAUACCCCGCUGUUCUGACGGUACCCAAAGAACAAGCACCGGCUAACUUCGUG
rnacentral:rRNA from 1 species